GUGAAUGACCCUCACUGAAGAUCAGGUGAAGAGUGAGUUUCCUUCUGAGUUUCAGAGACGCAUUCUCUAGAGGGAGGGAAUUGAGUGGAUCAAGCAAGAUCUCAAAACUGGGGCUGGAGAGAAAGGUAAGGGAGACAUCUUGGUAUGGCUUCACCUAGGAUUGCUUCCUCUCCUCCUGGGGAGCCCUGUGACCCUUUCUUCUCCCCGUUCCUGUAGGAGAUCCAGCAGCUGCUUCCAGCAGUCUAGGUCUUCUGCCUAUGUUGAGUCCUUCCGGAAGUUCAUCCUUCUAUCCCUUAACUCUUCUGUCAUUCUUCCACUAGGCAGCUAAGGUGUGGUCCUGUCCUCUUGGUCACUCAGAGACUCGUCUCCAGACUAACGGCUAAUGGAUUAUGCUUCAGGGAAAGUGCUUGGCUUGGUCCCCUACAUGUUGUCGCUUACCUGCUUGUAUGACUCCUGUUAACUGUGGACAAAGAAUGCCACUUGCCAUAUCAGUCAACAAAGGUUGUUGGCCCAUCAAGCCCCCAGUCACUACAGCUGCCACACGUACUCCCACCCCCAAAGGUGAGCCCUGAAGGAACUCAGGGUGGACAUAGAAUCAUCAAGCAAGGUAUCAACCACUGCAGCAGCCCUCAAAGCUGCACCCUGAGGGAAACCAGGAUGGGAAAAACAGGAUACAUGCCUUAGAUAGAUAGGGUGCAUAUCAAAGGAAUGAUUUCAGAGUCCUGACUCUUGCAUCUUCCCUUACAAAUAAAAGCACUAAAUUCAUUAACUUGAUGUCUGGUUUUCUUUAAUGAAUAGUGAUCUUUUGAUGUUCUGAUUAUCUGGUUUCGGUUGCAAAACCCCUGUAUGUCCUGGCUCCUCCCCUCCCUCUUCUGAGCAGUCCCUCAGAGCUGUCUGAGAAGCUGCCUCCUGGGCUUGAAGGCCUCAAAGUUUACCAAAUAAUACAUAAGUCUCAACUUUGGGGCUGAAGAUUUUUUGCAUUUUUUCUCCAAUCAAUAUAAUCAUAACC
rnacentral:lncRNA from 1 species